rnacentral:rRNA from 1 species
AACGAACGCUGGCGGCAGGCUUAAUACAUGCAAGUCGAGCGGGCGUAGCAAUACGUCAGCGGCGCACGGGUGCGUAACGCGUGGGAAUCUACUCUAUAGUACGGAAUAACUCAGGGAAACUUGUGCUAAUACCGUAUACGCCCGAAAGGGGAAAGUUUUUCGCUAUAGAAUGAGCCCGCGUUGGAUUAGCUUGUUGGUGGGGUACUGGCCUACCAAGGCAACGAUCCAUAGCUGGUCUGAGAGGAUGAUCAGCCACACUGGGACUGAGACACGGCCCAGACUCCUACGGGAGGCAGCAGUAGGGAAUAUUGGACAAUGGGCGAAAGCCUGAUCCAGCCAUGCCGCGUGAGUGAAGAAGGCCUUAGGGUUGUAAAGCUCUUUUAGUGGUGAAGAUAAUGACU